ACUUCAUGUUUAGUUAGAAACACCAGAGCGCCACCUUCUGGCCUCUCUCCAGAUCAGUUCAGGUCAGAGAAUGGAACUGUUUCUGUCUUUGUUUUUCCCCUCCGUGGGCUGCCACCUUAUCGUGGUGGAGGGGUUUGAGUGUCCCAGUGAUCCUAGGAGCUGUCAGAGGCUUCAUGCCUCUAUUUGGGUCGGGUCUGCCGGGGCAAACGGGUCCUAGGUGAGGGAUCGGACCAAGAGCAGCCCAAAGAUCACUUAGAAAUAUAAACACAGAAUGUUCCUAUUUAGAGAUGAUGACAUAGACAGGGUUCCCCUUACAACCAGAGCUAUAGACAGAAGUUAGAGUUUCUCUGUGUUUCAUCAGCCUGGUGGGCCACCAGGCUUUAUUUUCCCCCCACAAGCUAUGAAUUAUUAUUUUAAAUGGGGAUUUUUCUCCACCAAUGGCUUUAAUCUGAUGGUAAAGACAGAUUAAAGUAAAGGUUUAUAGUUGAGACAUUGAACUGACUGAGGAGUUGUGAACCAGUUGUGCCGUCCCAUCAGUUGGCUUCACACGCUGUAAUUUCUGAGUGUUGAUGCCUGAUCCUGCACCUCAGACUUUCUGUAACUGGACAUUUUUUAACCCAAACACGCUGAUGGACCGCUGAUGGACGAGCCCAGCAGCUCUUCCACCGGGCUCAGCAGGUUUUCUGGAGGAAACCCUGACAGCUUUCCCAGUGGGAGAGUUUCAUCAGGUGUCCCACAGCAGCUUGAUGGACUCGGACUCCGCUACCGUCAGUAGUGAGCCCAACGGGUCGGCGGUGUGUCGCUACGACUCGCUCAUCUGAGGCGCCAUUGGUGGGGAGAUUUGAGAUCAAACAGCCUGAAACCGGCUUCACCUGUUGAGUUUGAGUCGCUACGUCACACUGACCUGAUGGACGCUGGAGGAGAGGAGACGCAGCGAGCUUCUCCUGCUGGCAGAUCUGAGAGAAGAAAAUGAGGAUUUAACUAUACCGUCCUGAUGAGAAGCUGCUUUCAGACCCAGAUGAACUCCAUCCAUCCAGACCUGGUUCCCUUCAUCCAUCCAGACCUGGUUCCCUUCAUCCAUCCAUCCAUUCCUGCUUCCCUUCAUCCAUCCUGGUUCCCUUUAUCCAUCCAUCCAUCCAUCCAUCCAUCCAGACCUGGUUCUCUUCAUCCAUCCUGGUUCCCUUCAUCCAUCCAUCCAUCCAUCCUGGUUCCCUUCAUCCAUCCAUCCAUCCUGGUUCCCUUUAUCCUAGGAAUUACGUGACCAUUUUGAUUUCUUUACAGGGAUGUUCUCGCAAUCUGUUAAAAUAAAAUUAAUGAAACCAGAAAAUCCUGGGAGUUUGUCUUCGACAUGAAGAUUCCUUUGAGAUGACAGAAAAAGAGACUAUUAAACAUUGGGGACAACGUCAUCCCCAAUGUUUAGUUGUCCAAGAUGUUUAACAUCUCCAAUUUAUUUUGUCUCCAUUGCUUAACAUUGUCCUUGAUGUUUAAGGUCAUAGCUGAUGUUUACUGUGUCUUUAAUGUUGUACUUUAUCUCCAAUGUUUAACGCAAAAGGAAACUUUUCUGGAGAUGAAAUUUGACAUCUGAUGAACCUUGGUAAUAAUGUAAAACACCAAGGAUAAUGUUAAGCAUUAUCUUUAAUUAAAUAAAAAAUCGGGGACAAUGUUAAAUAUCCUGGAUAUUAAAUGCUAAACAUCAGAGUUUCUAAAUUGUCUCUUGUUUCUAAAUUGUCUAUUACGUUUUUCUAGAUUUUUCUUCUCUUAUGAAUUGGUUUAUAAUUUUUUCUAUGUAAUAUAGUUUAUUUGUUGGCACUUUAGCACAGUAUGUUGAACAGGAACAUGAAUAUUAUAAUAUGGUUUUAAUUACAAUUUUUUUAUAAUUAGGGCAUUGUAAGUAAGUCAUUAACUUUAGAUAAAGGAUAGGAUUAAAUAAGUGUUCUUCCUACUCCUUUUCAAACAGGAGUGGUAAGCUAAUUAUUUUGAUCUUGGUUAUGUAUGCAUGGUUUUUUUUUGCUUGUUUUAAAAAAUCUGUUUGAAAUAAAUAAAAUAUUUGUUAGUUUGAGUAAGCUAAGCACUUACAGUACAGUGCUUCUAGAAGUGAAUAAUUUGUUUGUGGCAAGUUGUAAAUAUUUAUUUUGAAGCAGGUCAAAGAGAAUUCAGUGCUGUUAUUGUAAUGGCUGUUAAUUAAUGGAGAUGCUCAUUGUUGCUCUCAGAUCUUGUCUGUCAAAAGUCGUCCUAAAUAAAGAAACCUGGAAAACAACAGAUUCAAUACCCGUGUGCCAACUAGAGCAUGUUGUUGGCGAUACAAUGUAUUAAUGCACAAAAAAGAGCUUGCGGUGAUAUGGAUUUGUAGAUGUCUGUGUUUAAUUUAAUUUUAAUAAAAACCUGCUUCACCCGACUGAUACUGUUUCAUUCUUACAAAUACCUCUGUAUUUAGAAUAUUUUUUAAAAGGUAGGAUAUUCUCAUAAAAGCAUUGGGGCAAACAUCUGUGAUAGCUUUUCAUUUUAGAUGGAUAGGAUAUUCUGAUGAAGUGAUAUUUUUGUGUUUUUCUCGUGUAUAUAAAUUGUUCCUAUGCUAAGCUAACUCCUAAGCUUUCAGUCUCGUCACACAAAGAAUGUUAUCCAACGAUAAUAUUUAACAUUAACAGAGCCUGCUGUAGCUUUUGGUUUGCAAACAUGACGGCAGAAGUUUUAAGACGGGUAGCACCGAUAGACAGACAGACACAGCCAUCUAUUCGUGCUACGGUAGGAAAAUCUGACGAGGUAGCACAGAUGGUCAGAACACCUGUUGGGUUUUCCAGACACCUAAAACGUUAACUUAUUGCCCCCAAAAAUGGCACCAUGUUCUUUUUAAGUGAUUGGGCUGCUUUUAAAAGUAGCUGAGAUCGAAAUAGAAGUAAAACAAUUUUAGUUUUGCAUAUUUUCUCUCCUUUAAAUGCCAGAAUGAUUGGACGGACCACAAAUUAAUGGUUAGGAAACUGGAUUGAUAGUGGAAUAGUUCGUUCCAUAAACCUUUUUAACUUCAUAUUUUCUAAUAUAAAUCCAUUGAUAACAAAUGUUUUCUUUUCCAAUCAGAGAAUAAAUUGGACUUUGUAAUUUUUCACACUGUUCUUGUUUUUAUUUUGAAAAAUCUUUUUCUUUUGUAGCUCAUAAACCAGUCUGACUUACAGACCUUCUAGACAACACCUGCAGCACUUUGAUUUGUCUUUGCAUUUUUACAAAAUGAAAUUACAGAUUUACAUUUUAAAAUACACAACAUGUUCAGACAUUGAUAUAGUCAGCUGGAGUGGAGGAAGUGCAUC